GACAGAAGACACAUUAUCAAGAAAUAUUACUGUGCUCAGAGGCUCGGAACAAGGAUCUAAUUAAAUUUCUCACAAAAAUUAGGGAAAGCUGUGCACUAACAUACUUUACCCACUAGAUGUCACUAAGAGCUGAGUGGAUGAUACAUCAUCUUAAAAUAUAAAAUAACGAGGAGCACUUUGUAACACUUUUUCAUUUACUGCUUUUGUAUGUAAAAGAACAAGAUGGUUUCUGGUCUUUGACUGCCUGGAUUUGAGGUGAAGUAUGUAAAACAUAGCAUAACCUAAUUUUGUCAGAUUUAACUAGAAAUUUUUUCUUUGGGAUUUACAUAAAAUAAGCACUUUGUAAAAUGUUUUAGAUUUUUUGGUAUACAUUUAUUGUUCUCUAAAUUUUAAAUAGAUACUAAAACAUACAUAAAUACUAAAUCUACACACAAACCUAGAACAUUUAUAUUUAUAGUCAGGAUUAAAUUUUUAUUUUAAUGUUAAUCAAAAUUUAUAUAAGAAUGUUAAAUGCAGCAUGCUUUAAAAAAAAAAAAAAAACUUUGCCUUAAAAUAAAUAUAUUUACCUUAAUAUAAAUAUUUAAAAUAAAUCUGGCAUUUUUUUUUAAAAGCAAGCUGCAUUUAACAUUCUUCACCCCAUUUAAUUUCAAGUUUGUUCCUUCUUUACAUACAAAAAUAAUUCAACAAGUCUCUAACAAGUCUAUAUACAAGUUUAUAUGCACAAAAUAGCUCAUAAUAAAUCUGUAUUAUCUCAAGCAAGUAUGUUUAAUAAUACAUGUCCUUUAAUAUUCAACAAAGAGCUGAAUUCCAUUUUCCCGGCACUUGAUCAGAAUUGGGUUUAACCCACCUUAUAAAUUAUGUACAUGAGAAUGAAAAUAUUGGCGAUGGUCAGGAAAGAGGAGUCAGUUAUGUUACAUCACCAGCCAUUGAGGAAUGGAAAAGGUCACGUAGGGGUCAAACUACUAAAGACCAAUGAGCACUGAGAAUGAGUGAACAUUCUGAAGUGCUGCCCUCUGGCCAAUCAAUACUGUAUACCAUGAAUAAAUUAAUGUGAUGAGUGUGGCUGCAUAGCAGUGUGUUAUUAAACUAAAACUUUUUUUUUUUUUUUAAUUGAAAAAGAAUUAGAAAUGUUGCCUUGGCAAGUAACUACAAUAAAAUAAGUGCAAGUUGAAGUACUACAAUUACUAAAACUGAAAUAUAAAAAUAAAAGCUAGAGAGGUAUAACAUUAUUGCACUAAAGUAAGUAAUAAAGGAAAAAAAAAUAACUUUAAAAGUUAAUUUAAUUGAGAGGGGAAUAACUUUAUGCUGAUACCAUUAGUUUGUGAUCUUAUUGAAUUAAGACUUAAAAAGACCUAAAAAGUAUCGUUCAUACCAAGAACGAUAACUAUAAAUAUAAUACAGAUUUAGUUCUAAAAAUCGUUGUCAAUAUUAAAGAAUAGCAGAGUUCACACCACACAGCAAUAACAAUAACGGCAAAGAGAAACAAUAUCGUUAGAAUCACUUUCAGAACGAUUUUAUCCAAAUGAUGAACGAUAAAAACAUUGACAGCCAAUCAGAAUCCAUCCUGCUGUAACAAGCUCAAGCAUUUAAAGUGACAGCCAAUCACACACCUAGAAUAAACAGAAUUAUAUCGUCCACUGAUGUGAAUGCUAAUGUAGUUUUCUUUAUAGUUAUCAUUCUGUGUGAAAGGGCCUUAACUCAAGAUUGUUUUUCAAUAAAAAACCUUGGUGUCGACUCAUUUCAGACAGAGCUUCCAUAUUAGGCAAGAGCUGUCUCAGUGAAAACAAAUGUUUCAUGCACUGCAAUUAUAGUUCUCUAUUUUUGCUCCAUAACAGCCAUUUCAUUUGUCAACAGAGACUAAAGCCAAAGAUUUUCAAGACCUAUAAAAAAUGAGACACCCAUAAAAUGACUCCAUAAAGAGUUUAAAAGAAGAAAACAGACCUCACUGUACCACUAAACAUUAUAUAAAAUAUCCAAAAUAAGUAAUUGAGAUGUGUUUUCACCUUGGUUAAGGGUGUAGUAAGGGAACACGAAGCAGUGUGUGUCAUCUCUAAAUCAGAUUUUAUGGACAGAACUAUCUGUUUUAUUAAAAGCCUUCAUACAAUGAUUAUAUAACAUGAAGUAGAAGUUGCUGAGGUAAUUGAUCCUUCACUUUAUUUGAGUAAUACAAGCUUCCAUGUGUUCCUAAAAGCCAACAACAUCAAAACAGUCCACUUUACUACUGCAUUACUACAUUACUGCUACAUUAAACUCAAUUUUAUUUUUAAGCUUUCAUAAAAGAACUUAUUUUUAUGAAGUACAAAAGCAUAUAAGCAGCGUGACAAAUAGGACAGAAAAAAACAGAUGAAUUAAUCUCUUGAGUAAAUAAACACUUGAGUAAUUAGACUUCAAAACACACCACAUUGUGGUGAGCCAAUAAAGUGGGCCAUUAACAGCGUGGAUCUCAACAUAACAGCCCAAAAAUAACACAUGCUUAUCAUCGCAAAUGAAAAAAUCAGUUUCAACUCCGUAGAUGCACUCUGGCUGCUCUUAUACAAAAAAACAUCACGUUUGAUGAGUGUGGACAUAAAUCAGUCAGGUAAUGUUUGCUCUCUCGCUCUCUCUGUGGUCAUUUAGAAGGCCAGAUAAUAACUCCAUCACUGACCAGACCUGGAAGACAUUUUGUACAUUGACUAAGCAGUAGACCUUCAGAAUAAAUCCACUUCCAGGAUGCUGUGUCAUUAAUUAUUGAUUGAACAGAUAUACUUGAAAUUAAAGAUGGAACGAAAAGCUACCUGAUUCACUCGGUCGGCAGAUUGAUCCCCCAAAUCAUCUGUUUAAAUAGUGGUAGACUGAUAUCGGUGAGGGUGAUUAAUCUGCUAAUAUCUGCCGAUUUGACAUUAUUGGCAUUGAUGGAUAAUGUACAGAACAUAAGCUUGCUUUUCCAAAAAAUUGGGUUAAUUUUCAACGAAAUAUUGUGUAAAAACAAAGAGUUUGCUCAUUUUUAGCCAUUUUGUUUACAUCACAUUAGGCAUAAAUAAACUCAUAUGAGUAUUCAAAUGAGUCAUAUGAAUUCAAGUCACCCUGCUCUGUAGAUACUGGCACUGAUAGUGGGGUAAAUUGUUUUUUUUUUUUUUUUAAUUAAUUCUUUUAUUCACCAAGGAUGCAUUAAAUUAAUAAAAAGUGAAAGUAACGACUUUCACUGACAUAAAAAAAUCUAUUUCAAAUAAGUGUUGUUCUUUCAAACUUUCUAUUUAUCAAAGAAUCCUGAAAAAUAUCAUAGUUUCCACAAAAAUAUUAAUCAGCACAACUGUUUUCAACAAUGAUAAUAACAAGAAAUGUUCAUUGAGCAGCAAAUCAGCAUAUUAGAAUGAUUUCUGAAGGAUCAUGUGACACUGAAGACUGGAGUAAUGAUGCUGAAAAUUCAGCUUUGACCACAGGAAUAAAUUAUAUUGUUUUGCAUGGUGCUUUGCUCCCUAAUGAACAUGAUUCUGCAAUACAAUAUGCCUGAAUUUAUUAACAGAUCCCAACUGUCCUAGGGAGAAGACUGCUUAUCACAUUCUGGCAGUACUGCGUGUGUCCUGGGCAUCGAGUCUACUACAAAUGAACCAAUAAAUAAUGUGAAUAUUGCAAGUUAUAAUGCAAUAUAAAAAUAUAAACAUAUAAUAUAAACAUAUAAUAUAAAUAUAAACAUAUAAUAUAAUAUAGAAAAUAUAAACAUUUUGAUUUCAUUUUCCAGGUCAGUAAGCUCUGUCUGGUUAAAAAGCAAUAAAAUUUGGUCCUACUGAGCACAAUUGGGUUUGCGCACACACCAUGUUUUCUCAGUAUGUUUUCGGCCUUUCCAAGAAAAGGGACAUAUAUGUUCAAAAGUCAAACCAUUUUAACUUAGCCCAGCAGACUUGACGGUGAAGGCUGAAGUUCAUAAUCCAAAGCAUGCUGAUAAACGCGGCCAUUGAGUCACAACUCUUACGCAACAUUUUUGCACACAAAAGAAGAUAUUUUAAAAAAUGUCUCCUAAAAUGUCCAUACAAUUAAAGUCUAUGGGACCCCAACAGUCUUAAAAAUAUCUUCUUUUGUGCUUCGCAGAAGAAAGUCAUACAGGUUUAGAAUGAAAUAAGGGAGAGUAAAUGAUGCCAGAAUUUUCUUCUUUUUUUGGGGGGUGAACUAUUCCUUUAACAGAACAUUUUUGGCUCAAUAAAUUGACAAUACACUAUAAGAAACUGCUCUCAAAAACAAACAGUCAGGGUCCAAACCCAUUUGAUGCAUUAAAUUCAUAAAAAGUGAGAGUAAAGACAUUUAUAAUAUUACAAAUGGUUUCUAUUUCAAAUAAUGCUGUUCUUUUGAACUUUCAAUUCAUCAAAAAUUCAUGGUAUCAUGAUGGACUCCACCAAAAUAUCAAGCAGCACAACUGUUUUCAACAUUGAUAAUAAUAAUAAAUGUUUAUUUAGCAGCGAAUCAUAUUAGAAAGAUUUCUGCAGGAUCAUGUGACACUGAAGACCAGAGCAAUGAUGCUGAAAAUCACAGCAAUAAAUGACAUUUUAAAAUAUAUUAAAAUAGAAAACUGUAUUUUUGAGAAGCUAGACUAAACACUAUUCCUGAAAUCAAGAUUCUCCCCCCAAAGAAACGCCACAUGACAUGUUUGGGGACACAGCACAAAGGCGUUUAAGACACAGGUUCAUGAAAGCCUGUAUUGUGCUGGCAGAGAUCAGUGGUCCAGAUUCCAUUGUUGAUUGUCUCAUCGAGGAAGGAAGUGUCAUUAUGUCAUCACACACGGCUGCCUGUUACAAUCAUUCAGCUCUGACAUUCAGGGGAAAGGUCAGCCUUCAGGUCAUCCAGUUCUCUGAAUCACUGCUAAGAUUCCGAUAUCUAUUAUGUAUGUUCUUAUCAGAUGCCAUCUCACCACAGUAACUUACAAGAAAGUAAAAGAGGUAAUUACCAAGCCAAGGAGCUGAGAUCACACACAACAUGCUGAGCUUAAAAUACCAGUACACCAAGAAAAUAAAACAAGGGAAUUAAAAUAAUCACGAACACAUCACGCUACACAUGGUUGCCAAAGACUAGUCCUUAAUGACGAGCUCUGGGUUGAAAACAAGUUAAAGGGGUGGUAUAAUGCCAUUUUUACUAGAUGUAAAAUAAGUCUCUGAUGUCCCCAGAGGUGUGUAUUUGAAGUUUUAGUUCAAAAUACCCUACAGAUAUUAUAGCAUGUUAAAUCUGUCACUUUUUGAGGGUGAGCAAAAAACGCUUAGUUUUUGUGUGUGUCCCUUUAAAUGCAAAUGAGCUGCUGCUCCUAAGAAGAGGGUGGAGUUUUAAGAGCUCAUGUUAGCACAUAGUGUUAGCAGCAUGAUUACCUCACUCAGACUCACUGAAAAUGUCAGAAACUGUUCAGCCUUUAUGUUCAAACUGGAGUCGGACAAUUAUGGAGAGACUCGAAAAGAAGUGACAACAUGUAGAAUGCAACAGGACGCUUCUGAACGAAUUAUCAUCUUUAUUGGUUGUGCAUCGGCACGGCUCCUCAGUGCGGACGAAUCUAAUGUUUACUGUCAGUUACCACAUCGGCAAGGAUACUGUACUUCGGAAUCGCAGAUUCUACGUCUUGAAAGUAUGACCAAAAUAAGAAUUUUCACCGGAAAACGUCAUCUGAACAAGUAAGUAACAUGUCUGCCACUUUUGUUCUGACCAACAGAAAAAAAGCAUUACAAUAAAUUUUAGCUCAUAACACAUCAAACCUUGCAAAUUAUUAUUAUUGUUAUACUUUAUUCUCAAAUUGUUAAUGUUAACAUCAUCAGCAUUGCAUGACUAUGUGUAUUUAGUGUGUAUUAGUGUUACUUGUAGAUUUCAAGUACUGUAGCCACUCUGCCGUCAGAAGUCUUUUGCUUUUGACUACGGGUGAAUCUCCAGUUGUCACUGAUGAUUGUCAUUUGGACCUUUCUGGAUUACAAUCCGCCAUCAAAAUGAUGUGACGUAAUGACGCAAAGACGAACGGCUGCAUGCUCGAAUUUCCCGUGGAAACCUACCAGGACCACCCGAAUUAGAAAACAUUAUUACAAGCUUACAGUUGUGAAUCAAGCUAAGGUCUGCUGAUGAACUGAAACAAUUCAAUCAGAAACAACAGUUCAAGCCAGUCUCACAUGCACAGUGACAUCUAACAACAUCAGGCCAUGAUAUUAGGAUGAACUUUUGGACCAGAAUUCUGCAUCAAUGAGCAGGCCGAGGGAAUGCAAUCAAUCUCUAAUUCAUGUGUCUCGGAGGAUAAAGUCGCAGAGUGAGAUGCACCUGCUGCUAGAGUCCCGGCCAAGCAGAAAGAAUGCUCAACAGACCCCAGAACAGGUGGCCUGGCAGAGGAAAUGUGUGUGUGGUGCUGCCAUGCCUGGCGUGUAAAAGUGAAACCGGGUCAUGGAACUCAAUGCGAGUAACACAGUGUUCAGGUAACAUAGCCCAGCACCACAUCAGCUGCGAGAGCCAGUGAGAAAGAGAGGUCUCAUCAAUAAGGCAUGAUCUGGAGGGACAGGAGGGACUUUAACUCUGUGUGUGUGUACUUGAAGAAGGGGACAUGAGGUUCGCCACGUCCAUAGAUGAUGAAAGAAUGUUUCUUGAAAGGAAUUGGUAAGGUCUAAAUGUAUGGUAGACUAAGUGUUAACUAGGUGUCAAAUAAGGUUGUUUAAUUGCAUUUAAUCAAUUUAAUUUUUAUUUUAUUUAAAUUAAAAUCAAUUUGUUUCUGUAAAGUCUAAGCUACUAAACGUACGGUAGACUAGGUGUUAACUACUAAUGUUAAAAUAUGAAAUGAAUUAAAUGAAUAAAUUGAAUUAAAUAAAUGAUUUAAUUAAUUUAAUUUAAUUACCCUAUUAACUUUCUUUAUAAAUAUUAAGUUGUUUUAUUUGCCACAAUUCAGUGAAAAAAUUAUUUUCAUAAAUAUUUAUAAAAAUGUUAUAUCUUUCUCUACCUCUGAAAUAAAUUAUUUGUUUUAUUUAAUUAUUAAAUUAAAAUAGAUUUGUUUCUUGAAAGGAAUCUGUACGGUCUAAUCUACUAAACGUAUGGUAGACUAUGUAUUAAAAUUAAUUAAAUUAAUAAAUUAACUAAAAUGUUUAUUUUAUCAAUUUUAUUUACCCUAUUAAUUUUCUUAAUAGUUGUUAAGUAUAUUUAUUUGCCACAAUUCAGUGCAAAUUCAUUUUCAUAAACAUUUAUUAAAAUACCAUAACUUUCUCCACCUCUGAAACAUCUUUGUGCUGACAUAACCAAUGAGAAAAACAAUAUUUAUUUAUCAGUAAUAUCACAGUUUAACAUUUUCAUCAAAUUCUGAUAUGUAAAAGUCCUGCCCUACAUUAUUCACGCUGAAUAUUCUUUUUUUCCACAGAAUUACAUCAAAAUAUGGUAAUUGCCCAGAUGUUAGGAAAAUUCCUUAUAUUUUAAAUGUUACAUUGAUAAGGCAUCAAGUCCAAGAUGAUGCCCCCCCUCCCCCUGUAGUUCAUGGUGUAUUUUAUGUGAUCUGGUCUGCCAUUGGAGAA